rnacentral:rRNA from 1 species
UACGUAGGGGGCAAGCGUUGUUCGGAUUUACUGGGCGUAAAGGGCGCGUAGGCGGCGUGACAAGUCACUUGUGAAAUCUCCGGGCUUAACUCGGAACGGCCAAGUGAUACUGUUGUGCUAGAGUGCAGAAAGGGCAAUCGGAAUUCUUGGUGUAGCGGUGAAAUGCGUAGAUAUCAAGAGGAACACCUGAGGCGAAGGCGGGUUGCUAGGCUGACACUGACGCUGAGGCGCGAAAGCCAGGGGAGCAAACGGG